ensembl:lncRNA
GAACAACAAAGAGGGAAUAAGUGGUUCGAUAGCAAGGACUGAUAACUGCCUCACACAAAGAAAGCAUGGGCCUCCCAAAAGCUUUAAAUUACAACUUUGAUGCCACUGAUCAGGGUUCCCGCAGUUGCAACUGGGACAUGGAGAAGCCGCAGAAGAGGCAGGGCAGGCCUGAAAGCACCAUCUCACACUGCAGAGCUCUCAGCUGCCCAAGUGAUGUGCAGAGAAAUCCCCCUUCAUGAUAGACGGAGUUUGAAGUUCUCCUGGACUCUGGCUGCAGGGGCCUGCCCGUUAGUCAAGAAGUAGCCACUCGGGGCACUAUGAGCACUCCUUGGGGAGCUCACGUGGAGGACGACGUCCGCAGCACGGCUGUCCACACCAGCAAUCCUUGCAGCGGGUCAUAUGGGCUUCACGAGGGUAUGAAGAAAACAAAAUGAAAACAAACUCCUGAGCGCUCACUGCUCAUCACCACUCAAUUGCUCACAAUCCUAGAAAAUAUGCCAAGCAGACUCCUGGACGCUAGAAAAAUGGACUAAAUGUGGCUGGAUAAUAUGUUUCUGCUUCUCAGCUUCUGAAUGUCAUCCAGCAAGAAGGAUCCGUGAGCGGGAUGCUCCACAGAUGUGAUUCACAAAGUCGCCCCUGCUGGCCUUUUUCCUUCCAUCUGGGGGUCAGCCCAGGUCUAUGGGUAAAUCACAUCCUUCUACCAGUUUGUUCCCAGGACCCACCUGAGAAAUCAAAGAACCAACUCCAGUGAUUGGAAAUUGCUGGACAGAAAUGCCCAUUCUCCCCACCUGAGGAAGUAAUCAACGCCAAGAAUGUCCAACUGUGAGUAAAGCCACAGAAGAGAAGGGAGACUCAUGUCCGUGGAGCCAUUAACAACCCACUGGUGGCUCAUCCAGAGAGAACGGAUCUGCAAGAGGUGGAACAACCUACAAAAAAAGGUGACGAGACUAUAAAGUGUGGCUAGCAAGUGCAGCCCCAGUUAUGUGCUCAAACCAGAUGGAGCAAAUUUAAGUCUGACCAAAACUACAGCUGCUCAGCCUGGUCAGACACAGCUGGGAAAUUAUGGAACAAAUUGUGUGGGAAGUCAAGUCAUCAAGGUACUCUCCCCUGCAGGCAUCGAUGAGAUCCCAUGCCAACUAACAACAUGUUGUUUGCCAAAUUUAUUCCUAAGGAUGGGUGAGAACUUUGUAGUCACCAAAACUAUGGUUGGGAGUGGGGAGUCCAUGACAGGUGCCUCAAGAAAUGUCUGUUUUGCAUGUUGAGUGCAUUUGAGAAGUUUAGCCUGUGCAGAUGGGAAUCAAUAUGGAUGGACUUACUGGAAUGGUUGGUAUUGAUGUUGGGCUCACUCAAAACUUAAAUCAAGGCAUCCCCUUCUUAGGUGCCCUCAUCCUAGGCAUCAUCCUCCAGGACCCCCAAAGGGAGCCUGGGCCAGGGGGUGAGCCAAGGGUGAGCUAGCUCUGCCAACGUGCUGGAGCACUGUACUGGUAUAAGAUGGGACACAUAUUCCUCUCCCUUUCCACUCCCCUCAAUUUCCUGCUUAGGAAUGACCUCUGCCUUUAUCCCUACCACCAAAGUGUAGUCACAAAGGGAGAACACCCUGGUGGUCACCCCACCUGAAAGCCCCAAAGGCCAAUCUCUUUCUCUCCCUGUAUCAGCCCAGGGCAGGUGUGUGGUCCUCCCACAUCCACCUGGGCACUCCCUCAGGGAAAUGAACACCUUACCAGCAACUUCAGAACCAGGCGUCUCAUGGAGGGUUCUUCCUCCAGGCAGCCAGCCACCCAGGACCAUUCUCAGGCCUAGCCCAGCCUCCUCCGGCCUGCAAGCCCCAGGUGCCUCCAAUGGGUUUCCUCUUGUUCAGAUUAGCCAAGGCCAGCCUCUACAGUUGCACCAGAGAACCCAGGUGAUAUAGUACUCCUGAAAUAAUUUUCCUUUUCACAUCAUGCCAAUUAGAAUGAGGACUAUCCUCGAUCCCCCUAAAGCUUGGUUCAGGUAUUUCAACCUCAGGUUGAUCAUGGCUGGCCCCACAGACAAGGCAGUGCAUUCACUCAGGCUAAUGAAAAUCUACCUUUGGGAAACUCUUUUCCCAAAAGUAACCCUGACCCGUUCCUGCAUGGGAGCAGGUUUCCUGAAAUGGAAGUGAUGGCCUGAACCACAUUCUCAAAGUCAGGGGUUUCAAUUCCACAAGACUUCUUCAAAGAUGAGCUCACCGUGUUCAUCUCAGGCUCCUCAGUGUGGUGGUGGUGAGAAGCCUGGACCACAGGGUGCUGGGUCUGGAGCAGAUGGCUCAGGGUGCAGCCACAGAGAUAUCCUGGGCAUGACUCAGGGUUCUGCGGGUAUCACAGGACAGUCAGCCUGAGGGAGCAUCACUGUGCAGUGACACGUAGAAGGCCCUGCAUUUGUAGACAUCUGCUUCCUACUAUGAAAAUAAGUAAAACUCACAGCAAGUGGAGAGAUCAGGUUCAACAACAACAUGUGACCAGGUCUCUGGGGCCAAAUCACAGAGAUAAAGCUGAUAUUACAGUGUUCCGUUUUUGAAUUUCAGAUUUUCCAACGCAAAUUUAAAAUAUAACUCAUUCAUUUGCUGCAUUUGCAGUAAACUGUUUCCCAUGGCUCAGCAGGAAGAAAGACUCCCCCCCUCCCCGUUUCUGCCCUGAUUGGCCCUGCAGGCCCCCUUGUUCCUUGGCCAUCUGCAAUCAGGGCCCUGGGGCAGCCUCUGUCCUGCUGGCCACAGGAAAACAGAAUGAACAUGUGGUAAUUUCUGAAUCAGAGCAAUAUAAAUGUUGCUAAACACACAGAAUGAGUUGAAAGAAGAGGCAACAGAAUGGGAUGGAACCGAAAGACUGUCUGCCAUCCACCCAUUUGAUAAAGAUGACCACUGGGCAUCGAGGGCACGGGCUGUGCUGAGCACUGGGCACAGAAGUGGGAGGGGAGGUCAGAGGGGGGUCUGGGGUCCAUGGAAGAACUCCACAAAUCCCACAGAGACGAUCACUCCUGACUCCCCACCAGCAAGUGGCCUGAUCCUCCCACUUGCUCACGCCGCAAACCAAAGUGUCCUCCUGGCCCUCCUCCUCCUGGCGCACGCCCCCAUCACCACAACCACGCUCCCCCACUCCCGGGCCACCAUUCUCCCCACGGGAGCCUGAGUGACCGGCUGAGCACCUCUGCUGCAUCCUGCAGGCCCUCCUUGCUUCCAGGAUGCAAGCUCCUCGCCCGGCUCUGCCCUCGGGAGCCCCACAGGCCUGCAUGUCACUCCCUCAUUCACUGGCCACUCCUCCUCCUCCCCAUCUCCAUGCUCCUCAUCUCCUUCAGGACCCCCCCAGGACCCCUGCAGAGAAGGCCUUCACCCAAAACUAGCAUGUUACCCAGCCCCUCCGUCCAUCCCCUGAGCUCACUUUGUUCUCCUCAAACACUGGUCCCAGUAGGCUGUUAGAGUCAUGGUGAUUGCUUCAUUGGACUGUGCCCCAAACAUGACCCUGGUGGGCACAGGGACUGCACUGAACCCCUCAAUCUAGUCAGCACCCAGUAAUCAGUUUGCUCUAAUGAGUGUGUUGCUCUUUAGGGCAGGCCACAUUUAAAGAAACAGUCCACCUCGACCUAGUUCUGUGCCGUGUAGAGUAAUAUUUGAAACAGUAGCUGUUCAUCCAUGGGUCUCACACUGACCCCUAAAUCUUUCUUAAGCGCCUGUGCCUUAGAGCAUAGUUCCCGUGAACAGGACAGGGUAUUCCCCUGGACCCAGUACGGGCCUGCUCUGUUGUUGGUGAACCAUGCAUCGAAUGCAAGUGGAAGCGAGUUCCUGAGGCAGACAGAGCCCUGGGUUGGCAGGACCACUGGAGGGGAUGAAGCCCCGGCUCCCAGGGGCCCACAGCCAUGCAUGUCAGGGUGCUGUCCAGGCUCCAGGUGCUUGGCACUGAUGCAGAGCAGAUGCUGGCCUCACCUGCCUCCCGGCCCACGCUCCUCAGGGCAGCAUCUGCGGCCUCAUGUGUCCACCACUUCAGAAAACCAGACUCAUUCCUGAAAUGGGAAAAGGCAAGUGAAGAACUAGUUUUCUAGUGCACAGAGAAACAUCUGAAUAAAAGAAAUGGUGGCUUGUCUGCCUGCAGACAGCUGGAAAGGUCAUAGCGUGGUCUAGUUCACGGGCUGUUCGCACCAGCAGCAUCUGGGUGGUGCUGGUGCCUCGAGUCUCAGCCACUCGCCAGCUUGUGAAAGGCCACCAGAGCUCGGGUGUUCCCACCAGCCACGAGAGGGAUUAACUCACGCUUCUCACACAUCACUUUUCUGUCACGUUGCGUUUUGGGGGAUGACGUAGGUGAACAUUUUUCUCUACAAACCUUGGUGGAAAUUGCUGUAUUGAGAGGCACUUGGGUUCUGGCUGGGUUGGGGUAUUGGGAGCCACACGAGAGUGACCUUGUCUCUUCUGGUUCCCAGUCUGACUCCACCCAGGGCGUCCCUCACACACUGAUGGUGCAGGGAGAGACUCGGUCAAGGUUUGUUGAACGAAUGUUUGCACAGAAAAAUGAUGCACCAGGGCUAGAAGGGGUGUGGGCGGCAAGUGGCCACAUUCCAGACCCAGGACUCUAGGGUGGGGCAUCCCAAAGCAGGACUCCCACACUUUUGAUUUCAGAAGUCAGUAACACUCCAGGGCAUGCCAUAGGGUCACUACCUUUCUAUUUCCAGAAAUAAGAACACGAAGUGCAGUUCCAUCUACACUGUCACCUUCUCAUAUAAGGAGGGAGAUUUUCCCACCAACUGGGAAGGACAUAACUUCAGAGAAAAACUAGUCCCUUCUGAGAAAUGAAAGCAGGUGGCUGAUUGUCCAAGCCAAGCCCCUUUGAGGGUGAAGGGACAUUCCUCACUGUCACAGGACAUGGGUGGGCACAGAGGAUGUGCAGUCACCCUGCUGGGAAAGGGCAACUGUGACUUCCUUGGCCCCCAGGCUACAGGUGUCCUGGAAGCCACAUGAAGAAAGUGCUCAGGGAAGCAGGUGUGGUCAGAUGAUGUGUCAGCCACCACUGAGAGGCCAGGACGGGAAUGGAGUCAGAAACUGGCUGGCAGAAGGUGAGGUGGUCCUGCUGGUUCCAUGUGCAGCCCUCCAGCUGCUGCAUCAUGGGCCCCGGCAGCCUUCUGCAGAGGACUGCUCUGUGUGACUGACCUGCUCAGGCCACAGGGGCAGGGAGUGGAAGUGCCUGGAAGUUAGGUCUCCCCAAGGGAACCCUGAGCCUUUGAGACUUUGGCUGGUUGGUGCUGGAGGAGGCAGGUGUAACUUGUGCCCAGAGCCCCACACCAUCAGAUGGUGCCUUCGCAUGACACAGCCUCUGGUGUGCUUUGCAGGUGAACUUGGGAGCCACUGGGGAGGCAGCUCCUCCAGUCCACUUGCCAAGCCAGCUGCGGAGGAGAGCUCCCCAGGCUGGGCAGCCUUGCACUUGGUGGGGGUGCCGCUGCUGCCUCUGACCUCCUGCAUGCCCCGCUUCUGAGAGAAUGGGAUCUCGGCAGCACUGAGAGCCAAAGGCAGAGGCUCACUCUCCGAGCCAGGUCAGCCCCUCAGCCCUCAUCACCCCUCCACCUUCCCAUCCCCAAAAAGAGCCAGCAGGACCCUCAGGGAGCUCCAGAACCAUCAGCAUCAGCAUAGCUAGGAUGCGGGCAUGCCCAGGACCAGGAGGUCGCACCCUUAGAGAAGUCAGGGUGGGGCCAGAGGAAGUAGCAGGACAGAGGAUUUGAAUGGAGAAAGAUGGAGUGUGGUGACGGCUGCUGACUUGUCCACUGGGCAAGUCACCAGGCAAGACCCUCCACCAGCAAAAAGAUUACAACCGGCUGAAGGCUCAGGUGAUGGUUCGCAUUUUUUAACAACAAAGUAUUUUUUAUUAAGGUAUGUACAUUUUUUAGACAUAUGCUACUAUACACUUAAUAGACCACAGUAUAAUGUAAAUAUAACUUUAAUAUGCCCUGGGAAACCAAAAAUUCAUAUGCAUAUGCAUAUGAAAUUCGUAUGCAAUAUUUGCUUUAUUGUGGUGGUCUGGAACAGAACUCACAAUAUCUUUGCGGUAUGCCUAUAUGACAGUGGUCCCAUAAGAUUAUAUAGCCUAGGUGUGUCGUAGACUAUACCAUCUAGGUUUGUGUAAGUUCAUUCUAUGAUGUUCACACAACGACGAAAUCACUUUACGAUGUAUUUCUUAGAACAUGUCCCCGUUGUUAAGCCAUGUAUGACUGUAGUGCCACAGCCUGUAAAGGUAUCUGAGCCUCUGCUCCCCUCUCUGUAAAACGAGAGUAUUAGCAGCAUCUACCUCCUGUGUCGUUGGGAGGACAGGAUGAGAUAAAGUACACAGAGCAUAAUACCAGGCCUACAGGAGGUUCUUAAUAAAUGUCCGAUAUUAUUAUUUUUGUCACAUCACUACAAUCAAACUGAAUUGCCUGGUUUCCCCACCCAAGUUCUAGGAUUUAUUUCCCAUCCCUCUACUUUUGCUCAUACUGUUCCCUCUGCCUGCACCUUCCACCCAUCAUCUCCACCUUCUGAAAUCCCUCCCAUACUCAAAGGCCCUGCUCAGACGCCGUUUCUUUGAACUUCUCCACCGCCUGCCACAAGAGCUCUCUCCUUGCCCCUCUGAACAUUAGGGAUCUUCGCUUCCCACACUCCUGAGGAUUCACACUGCCUCCUGGUGAGUGCGUGAAUGCUUUAUCUCCCUACCAGUUAGGGCAGGACUAUGUCUUACUCAUAUUUAAUAUCAUCUCCACAGCCCCACACAGGGUCUGGCCCAGAGCUAAAACUUGGGAAACUUUAAUCAAAUGACUAAGUGGAUGACAUUUCCUGUUUCUCAACAAUAAAGUUUCAUCUUGAUACCUGUCUAUUGAACAAACAAUUAUUACGCAUCCUAUUAAUCUUAUCAAUACAUCUUAUUAAGCCUGGGAUUAAUGAAUAUGGUCCUUACCCUCUCGAUGCUUACAGCCUAGUUCAGAAGAUGAUACUUUCAGAAAGAAAACUGAGAACAAGUUGGGGCAAUAUUUAACACUGUGUUUAAUCAACUGUAAUCAAAUUUCAUACUAUGUAAUCCAGACAGACAGUUUCCUGGGUGGUCAAGCUAGGGAGGAGUCUGGAGGAGUUAGAAGGGGAGGAGGGGAGGGGCAGUGGCAGAAAUCUUCACUAGAAGGUUGGGAUCCCCAAAAGGCAGAGGAAUUCAGGCAGGGAGAGGAGGAAGGGUAAUUUUACAGCAGAAUAAUUAUACCUGCUGGCAAGGGGCAGGGUGGGGGGAGCGCAGAUAAACUAAUGAGUGUGCCACCUACUAAGCUAAUGACUCUUUGUGCUGGAGUAUCAGUAGAGGACAAUGGAUGCCAGCCACGCUGUUCACAUGCAGUAAUUAUCAUCAUUAUAAACACCAGGGAUUAACGUUUACCUGUCAGAAGUCCAUGUGAAUAACGUCUGUCUCUCAAACCUGUGGCUAAAUAAAAGCAACUGCCAUUCCUAGAGAAUCAGCUUCGAUUAAAGAAGUUUCUUCAUUUUAUUAUUCUUCUCUUUUGAGGCUCUAAGUUGCUAUUCAAAUUAAUAAGGUCCCAUCUCCACGCUUCACGAAGAGAAGGAGAUUUGCCAGGAAGUCAGACUUCCCUCUCAGCCACGUGUGUGUGGCCUUAAGUAAGGCAUGAGCCAGUUGUGAGUUAUGAAAUGUAACUUCAGGAAUCCUAGAAAGAAACCUACCGCUCCCAAAGAUCUCCCCCAGGAGUCUGUCCACAUGCCCGAAAUGACGCCCUUAUAUAUCAUGCAGCUGUGUCCAGUUCUCUUCUUACAAACGUAAGAUUUCUUGAAGAAGGCCACUUUUCGUCUCUGAUCUUUUGGUUUGGAUGUGAUUAG